GACGUAGGGGACGAGCGUUGUUCGGAAUUACUGGGCGUAAAGGGCGCGUAGGCGGCCUGUUAAGUCGAACGUGAAAUCCCUGGGCUCAACCCAGGAACUGCGUCCGAUACUGGCAGGCUUGAAUCCGGGAGAGGGAUGUGGAAUUCCAGGUGUAGCGGUGAAAUGCGUAGAUAUCUGGAGGAACACCGGUGGCGAAGGCGGCAUCCUGGACCGGUAUUGACGCUGAGGCGCGAAAACCAGGGGAGCAAACGGG
rnacentral:rRNA from 1 species